rnacentral:rRNA from 1 species
CCUACGGGGGACAGCAGUGGGGAAUAUUGGGCAAUGGGCGCAAGCCUGACCCAGCAACGCCGCGUGAAGGAAGAAGGCUUUCGGGUUGUAAACUUCUUUUAUCAGGGACGAAGCAAGUGACGGUACCUGAUGAAUAAACCACGGCUAACUACGGACCAGCAGCCGGGGUAAUACGUAGGGGGCAAGCGUUAACCGGAUUGACUGGGUGUAAAGGUCGUGUAGGCGGGAGUGCAAGUCAGAUGUGAAAACUAUGGGCUCAACCCAUAGCCUGCAUUUGAAACUGGACUUCUUGAGUGAUGGAGAGGUAAGCGGAAUGCCAGGUGUAGCGGUGAAAUGCGUAGAUAUACGGAAGAACACCAGUGGCGAAGGCAGAUUGCUGGACAGUAACUGACGCUGAGGCGCGAAAGCGUGGGGAGCAAACAGGAUUAGAUACCCUUGUAGUC